GAUGAAGAACGCAGCGAAAUGCGAUAAGUAGUGUGAAUUGCAGAAUUCAGUGAAUCAUCGAAUCUUUGAACGCACAUUGUGCCCCUUGGUAUUCCAUGGGGCAUGCCUGUUCGAGCGUCAUUUGUACCUUCAAGCUUUGCUUGGUGUUGGGUGUUUGUCUCGCCUUUGCGUGUAGACUCGCCUUAAAACAAUUGGCAGCCGGCGUAUUGAUUUCGGAGCGCAGUACAUCUCGCGCUUUGCACUCAUAACGACGACGUCCAAAAGUACAUUUUUACACUCUUGACCUCGGAUCAGGUAGGGAUACCCGCUGAACUUAAGCAUAUCAAAAGCGGAGGA
rnacentral:misc_RNA from 1 species